rnacentral:lncRNA from 1 species
AAUGAACUCUCUCAAGUAUUUUCGUGUGGGGCAUUGUGAGGAAGCACGCUUCAAGCAGUUUCAAGUUAAGUUUUUUCACUGGUGACACUGAUUUGAAGCAACUCAUCUUGUAACUUUAACAAAUUAUUUCUAAAAUUGACUUUGAUAUAAUAGUUUUGUCAUAUGGAGUUGGAAAACAGAUGAAAACAGAAGAGAAAGCAUACACUGAUGGCUGAAAUAUCAGUUCUUACACUGAUUUGCACAGACAGUCUUCUGUUACUCAUUCAUGCUAAGAAACAGAAUUUGGAUUUCUUGCUGCCUGGGAAACACAAAACUUUCACUACUAAUCAGAAGGAUAAUUUCCACAUACAAACAGCGCUUUGA